CCCCUUCCCGCGGGGGCGGCGCCGAGCGGGGAUUCCCGCCGCGGAGCCGGGCGGGGGCCGCGCCCCCUCCCCAUGUCAACACGCGGGGCACGGGGCGCCUGCGCCGGUCCGUGCGCGUCUUUUCCUCUCAUGCGCGGUAUUUCCUUCCCCAGCUAGGCUCGGGGCCCGGCCUAGCGGCGGCGGCACCCGCGGGCCGGGGCGCAGGGAAGGGCAGCGGCGCCCCCCCGCCUCCCCGCGGCUCCUCGCCCGCGCCCCCGCCGACACCCGCGGCGGAGGAUGGCCGAGGACUCGCCCAAACGGCGCAAGGCCAACUUCAACGAGGCGGAGACGGAGGUGCUGAUCGAGCAGGUGCUGAAGCACGAGCAGCUGCUGUUCGCGGCGGGACCCGGCCGCGCCUCUGCGGGCCAGAAGCGGAAGGUGUGGGAGCUGAUCCGGCACAAGGUGAACCCGGUGGCCGCCUGCCCCCGCGACGUGGAGGACCUGAAGAAGCGCUGGCGGGACCUGAAGCGCCGCGACCGCAGCAAGCUGUGCCGCCUGUCGCAGGGCUGCGGGCCGCCGCCGCCCCCCGCCCUCGGCCUCCUGCUGGCCCCCGAGGAGCUGCCGCCCGCCGCCGCGCCGCCCGCCCGCCGCCAGCGCCGCCCCUACGGCUCCCUGCUGCCCGCCGAGGCCGUGCCCAUCGUGGGCGGCAUCGACACGCUGGAGCUGCCCGGCGCCGUCGUGGGGGACAUGGGGUUUAAUGGCAGUCCUGGCCCAUCUCAUCAAUCCAGUCUUGAGCAGAUGAACCUCAAAGAAGAAAUAGUAGUGAAGGUGGUGGAGACAGAAGAAAGCUCUGAGGACAUGGUAGUGGUUCCACCUAGUCAAGAACAACUGCCUUUUCUGGGGACAUCAGGUGGUGGUUCCUCUGGGAAAGUAAAAGCAAAAACAAAAGGCAGGUGCCAGGCAGACCAAAAUGAAAUGACUGAAGAGGACCUACUGCAGAUUCAGCAGACCCAAAUACAGGUGAUCCAGUCUGGCUUUGACAGUGUCAACCACAAUCUUCGUCUGCUGCAGCAAGGCAUGCAAGAUCUGAAUAACAGCAUCAGCAUCAUGGCACAUACACUUGUUGCUAUCAAGAACAUCUAUGUGAAAAACAACACUGGCCCAACCACACAUGCCACUGCCUCUACUCAGACCACAGCUGGGUACCUGAGCCCAGGAUCCCCCCAGCUCUCCCCUGCUAAGGACAGAGCUAGAGCACAGGUAGCUGGAAGCAGCAGCAGAAGCAGCAGCUGCAGCUCCAGCUCCAUGUCACAAGAACCAGGUCCUUCCGAGUUUCCUAGGCCCCCCCUGAGAACCAUUAAGAAAGAACAUCCAAAUGGCUGCUACUACUUCUGCUUUGCAGAUGUGUAAAAACUUGAAUAUAUGUAAAAUGACUGUGUUGUUGGGUGCUGAAGUAUGUUCUGCUCUGGCCUGUGACUUCGAAGGAGCGAAGUGAACUUGCCUCCCAUGUUUUUCCCAGUGGGAAACAUUUUGCUGUAGGUGGCAUUAAACUCUAAUUGCCAGUCUCCAGUUAACUCUGUUGCAGUUGGCUAAUAAAUUUAUUCUUUUUUCUUUAUCCCCUUAUUCU
ensembl:lncRNA